GACGAACGCUGGCGGCGUGCUUAACACAUGCAAGUCGAACGGAGUGGCGAACGGGUGAGUAUUACGUGAGUAACCUGCCCUCAACUGUGGGAUAAGCCUGGGCAACUGGAUCUAAUACUGCAUAGUUGGGGAUGUGCUCGCGGCUUAUCAGCUUGUGGGUGGGGUGAUGGCCUACCAAGGCGGUGAAGGGUAGGCGGCCUGGGAGGGUGGUCGGCCACAUUGGGAGUGAGAUACGGCCCAGACUCCUACGGGAGGCAGCAGUGGGGGAUAUGGCACAAUGGGCGCAAGCCUGAUGCAGAGACGCCGCGUGAGGGAUGAAGGCUUUCGGGUUGUAAACCUCUUGCGGAACAGAACGGGUAUGUGCAGAAGAAGCGCCGGCUAACUACGUGCCAGCCGCGGCGGUAAUAC
rnacentral:rRNA from 1 species